GAUGAACGCUGGCGGCGUGCCUAAUACAUGCAAGUCGAGCGAACGGACGAGAAGCUUGCUUCUCUGAUGUUAGCGGCGGACGGGUGAGUAACACGUGGAUAACCUACCUAUAAGACUGGGAUAACUUCGGGAAACCGGAGCUAAUACCGGAUAAUAUUUUGAACCGCAUGGUUCAAAAGUGAAAGACGGUCUUGCUGUCACUUAUAGAUGGAUCCGCGCUGCAUUAGCUAGUUGGUAAGGUAACGGCUUACCAAGGCAACGAUGCAUAGCCGACCUGAGAGGGUGAUCGGCCACACUGAAACUGAGACACGGUCCAGACUCCUACGGGAGGCAGCAGUAGGGAAUCUUCCGCAAUGGGCGAAAGCCUGACGGAGCAACGCCGCGUGAGUGAUGAAGGUCUUCGGAUCGUAAAACUCUGUUAUUAGGGAAGAACAUAUGUGUAAGUAACUGUGCACAUCUUGACGGUACCUAAUCAGAAAGCCACGGCUAACUACGU
rnacentral:rRNA from 1 species